GAAAGCAGGGGACCUUCGGGCCUUGCGCUAUCAGAUGAGCCUAGGUCGGAUUAGCUAGUUGGUGAGGUAANGGCUCNCCAAGGCGACGAUCCGUAANUGGUNUGAGAGGAUGAUCAGUCACACUGGAACUGAGACACGGUCCAGACUCCUACGGGAGGCAGCAGUGGGGAAUAUUGGACAAUGGGCGAAAGCCUGAUCCAGCCAUGCCGCGUGUGUGAAGAAGGUCUUCGGAUUGUAAAGCACUUUAAGUUGGGAGGAAGGGCAGUAAGUUAAUACCUUGCGGUUUUGACGUUACCGACAGAAUAAGCACCGGCUAACUCUGUGCCAGCAGCCGCGGUAAUACAGAGGGUGCAAGCGUUAAUCGGAAUUACUGGGCGUAAAGCGCGCGUAGGUGGUUCGUUAAGUUGGAUGUGAAAGCCCCGGUUUAAGCCUGGGAACUGCAUCCAAAACUGGCGAGCUAGAGUACGUAGAGGG
rnacentral:rRNA from 1 species